rnacentral:rRNA from 1 species
AGCGAACGCUGGCGGCGUGCUUAACACAUGCAAGUCGAGCGAAGGUGUUUCAAGGGUAACCUUGAGAUACACUUAGCGGCGGACGGGUGAGUAAUACGUGGAUAACUUACCUCUAGGCCUGGGAUAACCCCGGGAAACUGGGGCCAAUACCUGAUAAGACCACAUUGUCUACGGACAAAGGGGUAAAAGGUGGCUGUGCAAACAGCUAUCGCCAAAAGAUAGGUUCACGUCCCAUCAGGCAGUUGGUGAGGUAAUGGCUCACCAAACCAAAGACGGGUAGCCGGCCUUGGCGGGUGAACGGCCACACGGGGACUGAGACACGGCCCCGACUCCUACGGGAGGCAGCAGUGGGGAAUAUUGGGCAAUGGGCGCAAGCCUGACCCAGCGACGUCGCGUU